rfam:Candidatus Firestonebacteria bacterium RIFOXYC2_FTLL_39_67 rifoxyc2_full_scaffold_287, whole genome shotgun sequence.
UCCUCGGUAGCUCAAUGGUGGAGCAUUCGACUGUUAAUCGAAGGGUUCCUGGUUCGAGUCCAGGCCGGGGAG